AUUGAACGCUGGCGGCAUGCCUUACACAUGCAAGUCGAACGGUAACAGGUCUUCGGAUGCUGACGAGCGACGAACGGGUGAGUAAUACAUCGGAACGUGCCCGAGAGUGGGGGAUAACGAGGCGAAAGCUUUGCUAAUACCGCAUACGAUCUAAGGAUGAAAGCAGGGGACCGCAAGGCCUUGCGCUCACGGAGCGGCCGAUGGCAGAUUAGGUAGUUGGUGGGAUAAAAGCUUACCAAGCCGACGAUCUGUAGCGGGUCUGAGAGGACGACCAGCCACACUGGGACUGAGACACGGCCCAGACUCCUACGGGAGGCAGCAGUGGGGAAUUUUGGACAAUGGGCGCAAGCCUGAUCCAGCCAUGCCGCGUGCAGGAUGAAGGCCUUCGGGUUGUAAACUGCUUUUGUACGGAACGAAAAGACUCUGGUUAAUACCUGGGGUCCAUGACGGUACCGUAAGAAUAAGCACCGGCUAACUACGUGCCAGCAGCCGCCGCAGUAA
rnacentral:rRNA from 1 species